rnacentral:rRNA from 1 species
CGGCAGGCCUAAUACAUGCAAGUCGAACGAGAUUAAGAGGCUUGCUUCUUAUGAAAGUGGCGCACGGGUGCGUAACGCGUAUGCAACCUACCUUAAUCAGGGGGAUAGCCCGAAGAAAUUCGGAUUAAGACCGCAUAAAAACACAGGAUAGCAUUAUCCAAUGUUCAAAUAUUUAUAGGAUUAAGAUGGGCAUGCGUGUCAUUAGCUAGUUGGCGGGGUAACGGCCCACCAAGGCGACGAUGACUAGGGGAUCUGAGAGGAUGACCCCCCACACUGGUACUGAGACACGGACCAGACUCCUACGGGAGGCAGCAGUAAGGAAUAUUGGUCAAUGGAGGGAACUCUGAACCAGCCAUGCCGCGUGCAGGAAGACAGCCCUCUGGGUCGUAAACUGCUUUUAUUCGGGAAUAAACCUACUUACGUGUAAGUAGCUGAAUGUACCGAAGGAAUAAGGAUCGGCUAACUCCGUGCCAGCAGCCGCGGUAAUACGGAGGAUCCAAGCGUUAUCCGGAUUUAUUGGGUUUAAAGGGUGCGUAGGCGGCUUAUUAAGUCAGGGGUGAAAGACGGUGGCUCAACCAUCGCAGUGCCCUUGAUACUGAUGAGCUUGAAUACACUAGAGGUAGGCGGAAUGUGACAAGUAGCGGUGAAAUGCAUAGAUAUGUCACAGAACACCGAUUGCGAAGGCAGCUUACUAUGGUGUUAUUGACGCUGAGGCACGAAAGCGUGGGGAUCAAACAGGAUUAGAUACCCUGGUAGUCCACGCCCUAAACGAUGAAUACUCGCUGUUAGCGAUAUACAGUUAGCGGCUAAGCGAAAGCGUUAAGUAUUCCACCUGGGGAGUACG